rnacentral:rRNA from 1 species
AUAACUAUAUAGCUAGUCGAGCGGACAGAUGGGAGCUUGCUCCCUGAUGUUAGCGGCGGACGGGUGAAUAACACCUGGGUAACCUGCCUGUAAAACUGGGAUAACUCCGGGAAACCGGGGCUAAUACCGGAUGGUUGUCUGAACCCCAUGGUUCAGACAUAAAAGGUGGCUUCGGCUACCACUUACAGAUGGACCCGCGGCGCAUUAGCUAGUUGGUGAGGUAACGGCUCACCAAGGCGACGAUGCGUAUCCGACCUGAAAGGGUGAUCGGCCACACUGGGACUGAGACACGGCCCAGACUCCUACGGGAGGCAGCAGUAGGGAAUCUUCCGCAAUGGACGAAAGUCUGACGGACCACCGCCGCGUGAGUGAUGAAGGUUUUCGGAUCGUAAAGCUCUGUUGUUAGGGAAGAACAAGUGCCGUUCAAAUAGGGCGGCACCUUGACGGUACCUAACCAGAAAGCCACGGCUAACUACGUGCCAACAGCCGCGGUAAUACUUAGGUGGCAAGCGUUGUCCGGAAUUAUUGGGCGUAAAAGGGCUCGCAAGCGGUUUC